rnacentral:rRNA from 1 species
GACGAACGCUGGCGGCGUGCUUAACACAUGCAAGUCGACCGGAAAGGCCCUGCUUUUGUGGGGUGCUCGAGUGGCGAACGGGUGAGUAACACGUGAGUAACCUGCCCUUGACUUUGGGAUAACUUCAGGAAACUGGGGCUAAUACCGGAUAGGAGCUCCUGCUGCAUGGUGGGGGUUGGAAAGUUUCGGCGGUUGGGGAUGGACUCGCGGCUUAUCAGCUUGUUGGUGGGGUAGUGGCUUACCGAGGCUUUGACGGGUAGCCGGCCUGAGAGGGUGACCGGCCACAUUGGGACUGGGGUAGGGCCCAGACUCCUACGGGGGGCAGCAGUGGAGAAUAUUGCGCAAUGGGCGGAAGCCUGAUGCAGCAACGCCGCGUGCGGGAUGACGGCCUUCGGGUUGUAAACCGCUUUCGCCUGUGACGAAGCGUGAGUGACGGUAAUGGGUAAAGAAGCACCGGCUAACUACGUG